GGGGUUGAAUUAAUUAAUAUAAUAUAAAUAAUAAAAAAAUUUUUAAGUAAAAUAUUUAAUGGGGGUUAAAGUAUUUUUAUGGAAAAAAUUAUAUAAUUUAUAGUGAAUUAGUAUUGAAAAAGAAUUUUGAAAUAGGGGAAAAUAAUUUAUUAAAAAGUAAUUUUAAAUUAAUGUAUCUUGGGUAUCAGAGUUUAUUAAUAAAAUUUUUUAUAUUUAAAAAUUCUCGAAUUAAAAAGAGAUAAUUAAUUAAAAAAGUUAUUAUUGCAUAAAUAUUUUUAAUAAUUAAUUCGAAAUGAAAUGUUAGUCGUUUUUUAAUAUAUCUAGUUUUUUUAGAAAAAAAUUUAAUUUUAAAUUAAUUAAAUAAUUUAUUAAUUAAUUAAUAAAUUAUUUAAUUAAUUUUAUAUAUUAAGGGAUAAGCUUUAAAAUUAAAAUUUAUAUAAAAUAAAUAAUUAAUUUUUGAAAUUUAUAUAAUUUAUAUUGUUAAAAAAAUUUAAUUUAUUAUAAAUAAUUUCAUUAAAAAUAAAAUUUUAUUUAAUUUUAUUUAUUUAUAAAAAAAAAUUUUUUAAUUUUUUAAAUUUAGUUAUAAUGAUAAAAUUAGUAUAUAAAAAAAAUUAUAAAAUUUAAUUUUUUAUAAUUAAUUAAAAGGAAUUCGGCAAAAAUUUAUAUUCACUUGUUUAUCAAAAACAUGUCUUUUUGUUAAUAAUAUAAAGUCUAAUCUGCCCACUGAUAAAUAUUGAAGGGCUGCAGUAUUUUGACUGUACAAAGGUAGCAUAAUCAUUAGUCAUUUAAUUGAUGACUUGUAUGAAAGAUUGGAUGAAAUAUAAUCUGUCUCUUAAUUAAAUAUAGAAUUUAAUUUUUUAAUUAAAAAGUUAAAAUAAUUUAAAAAGACGAGAAGACCCUAUAGAGUUUAAUAAAUAAAAUAUUAUUAAAAUAAUUUAUUAAUUGUUUAUAAUAAUUAAAAUAAAUUUAUUUAUUUUAUUGGGGUGAUAAAAAAAUAUAAAUAACUUUUUUUAAAUAUUAACAUAUAUAAGUGAUUUAAUGAUCUAAUAUUAUUGAUUAUAAGAAAAAAUUACCUUAGGGAUAACAGCGUAAUUUUAUUUUUUAGUUCAAAUAAAAAAUAGAGUUUGCGACCUCGAUGUUGGAUUAAGAUAAAAUUUAAAUGUAGACGUUUAAAAUUUUUGAUCUGUUCGAUCAUUAAAAUCUUACAUGAUCUGAGUUCAAACCGGUGUAAGCCAGGUUGGUUUCUAUCUUUUAGUAAAAAAAAUAUUUUAGUACGAAAGGAAUAAAUAUUUAAAUUAAAUUUGAAUAUUAUUGAAUUUUAUUAAUAAGUAGUAUAUAUAUAUAUAUAUUUAUGUAAAAUAAGUAAGUUAAAUUUA
rnacentral:rRNA from 1 species